CCUACGGGAGGCAGCAGUGAGGAAUAUUGGUCAAUGGGCGCGAGCCUGAACCAGCCAAGUAGCGUGAAGGAUGACUGCCCUAUGGGUUGUAAACCUCUUUUGUCAGGGAGCAAUUGGCGCUACGUGUAGCGUUAUCGAGAGUACCUGAAGAAAAAGCAUCGGCUAACUCCGUGCCAGCAGCCGCGGUAAUACGGAGGAUGCGAGCGUUAUCCGGAUUUAUUGGGUUUAAAGGGUGCGUAGGCGGAAUGCCAAGUCAGCGGUAAAAUCGCGGGGCUCAACCUCGCUCCGCCGUUGAAACUGGCGUUCUUGAGUGGGCGAGAAGUAUGCGGAAUGCGUGGUGUAGCGGUGAAAUGCAUAGAUAUCACGCAGAACUCCGAUUGCGAAGGCAGCAUACCGGCGCCCCACUGACAUUGAUGCUCGAAAGUGUGGGUAUCAAACAGGAUUAGAUACCCUGGUAGUC
rnacentral:rRNA from 1 species